rnacentral:rRNA from 1 species
AUUGAACGCUGGCGGCAGGCCUAACACAUGCAAGUCGAGCGAGCGGCGGACGGGUGAGUAAUGUCUGGGAAACUGCCUGAUGGAGGGGGGUAACUACUGGAAACGGUAGCUAAUACCGCAUACCAUCAGAUGUGCCCAGAUGGGAUUAGCUAGUAGGUGGGGUAACGGCUCACCGAGGCGCCGAUCCCUAGCUGGUCUGAGAGGAUGACCAGCCACAUGGGAACUGAGACACGCUCCAGCCUCGUACGGGGGGCAGCAGUGGGAAAUAUUGCAAAAUGGGGGAAGGCCUGAUGAAGCCAUGCGGGGUGGUUGAAGAAGUCCUUCGGGUUGAAAAGCACUUUCAGCGGGGAGGCGUUACCUGCAGAAGAAGCACCGGCUAACUCCGUGCCAGCAGCCGCGGUAAUAC